GUGCCAGCUUCGGCUGCACAUUUACUAAAAUUGGAACGAUACAGAGAAGAUUAGCAUGGCCCCUG
rnacentral:snRNA from 1 species